GACGAACGCUGGCGGCGUGCCUAACACAUGCAAGUCAUGGGAGAAAGGGGUAGCAAUAUCCCGAGUACACCGGCGCAAGGGUGCGUAACGCGUAGGCAACCUGCCCUAAGGACGGGAAUAACUUCGAGAAAUCGAGGCUAAAACCCGAUAAUGCAGCGGCACCGCAUGGUGACAGUUGUUAAAACCCCGACGCAAGUCGGGAGCCUUUGGAUGGGCCUGCGUCCCGUUAGGUAGUUGGUGAGGUAACGGCUCACCAAGCCUACGAUGGGUAGCUGGUCUGAGAGGACGAUCAGCCACACUGGAACUGAGACACGGUCCAGACUCCUACGGGAGGCAGCAGUGAGGAAUAUUGCGCAAUGCCCGAAAGGGUGACGCAGCGACGCCGCGUGAAGGAUGAAGGCCCUCUGGGUCGUAAACUUCUUUUGUGAGGGAAUAAUAUCCCGCUAUACGCAGGAUUGAAUGUACCUCAGGAAAAAGCAUCGGCUAACUACGUGCCAGC
rnacentral:rRNA from 1 species